rnacentral:snRNA from 1 species
UGCUAACUUUGGCAGCAAUACACUUAAAUUAAAAUUAUAUAAAGAAGAUCAGCAUGGCCCCUGCCCAAAGAUGAAACAAAAUUGAUGAAAUGGUACAUAAUUUA